CUCCUGGGAAGUCCUCGUGUUGCACCCCUCUCUUUUUCUUCGCGUUUUUUUCGUUGGGGUUGUCGUUUGCGGCGGUCCAGCACGCUCGCUCUGCAUGCACCCCUUUGAUCUUCCCUGCAUUUAUUUUUUUUCUCGCUGGGCUUAUCGUGUACGUCGGUCCAGCACGCUCGCUUUGGAGGCUUAGCCCGCCCCAGGCCAAAAGCACGAGCCGCAGAUCUCGUUUCGGGUGCUAAAGCGUCGCGGGGACGUCGAAACGCGCGGAAGCCCCUCGGGCUGCACCUCUCCGGCGGUAAGGUGCAUCGUUGCGUUCGGAUCCUUUUAUAAGAAUUAAACGCGCUUAUGCUGAUGGGUGCGAUCAUACCAACACUAAUGCACCGGA
rnacentral:rRNA from 1 species